rnacentral:rRNA from 1 species
UACGAAGGGGGCUAGCGUUGUUCGGAUUUACUGGGCGUAAAGAGCUCGUAGGCGGUCUGUUGCGUCGGCUGUGAAAACCCGGGGCUCAACUCCGGGCCUGCAGCCGAUACGGGCAGACUAGAGUUCGGCAGGGGAGACUGGAAUUCCUGGUGUAGCGGUGAAAUGCGCAGAUAUCAGGAGGAACACCGGUGGCGAAGGCGGGUCUCUGGGCCGAUACUGACGCUGAGGAGCGAAAGCGUGGGGAGCGAACAGG